GCUUUAUGAACUGUCCCCUAGUUCAGAGUAAACUGUCAUUUGGGAGUGAUAACAAGAGGAUAAAGACAUCACAGAUGGGGAGAAGGAAGCUGGACUUCUGUCUUGAGGCAGGCCAUGAAGAAAGGAUAGGAGUUUAAUAAGAAACUAUAUAAUUCUCAGAAAAGCAGAAGCUGUGUUUUGAAUAAAAGUCUUGGGAUUCGGCAGGAAGAUCCUACAAUAAGGAAGACACCAUCAGAGCUGCCCAUCCUCCCCAGCACUAAAGAAAGAAAAGAUUUACUUU